CCUGCUAAAUUUAAGCAGAUCAAUAAGCGGUGGAAAAGAAACGAAAAUGAAUUCUCUGAGUAGCGGCGAGCGAAACGAGAAAAGUCCAUACACCAAAGUCAGCGAGCAGUGCUGUUCGUCAACAGUGUGGUGUUCAAGAUGUCGUUGCAUGUGAUGAAAUCAGUUAGUAGGCUCCCUUGAUUUGCGUUUCAGAGCAGGUGGGAGAUUUGGACCCAUAAUGAACGAUCUGUUGUGCAUGGUGCCGCGGCGCUUUGUUGAGUCGGGUUGCCUGAGACCGCAGCCCAAAGCGGGUGGUAAAUCUCCCCUAAGACUAAAUAUUUAUAGGAGACAGAUAGCGAACAAGUACCGCGUAGAGAAAGUUGAGAAGAACCCUGAAGAGAGAGCGAGAGAGAGUUCCACAAAACGUGAAACCGUUGACAGGCAAACGGAUAGAACUGAUGGUGAAAAUCAGUCGACUGUUUUUACUAUUUGGAAAAAUCG
rnacentral:ncRNA from 1 species